rnacentral:rRNA from 1 species
UGUGUAGGCGGUUUGGUAAGCCUUCUGUUAAAGCUUCGGGCCCAACCCGGAAAGCGCAGAGGGUACUGCCAGGCUAGAGGGUGGGAGAGGAGCGCGGAAUUCCCGGUGUAGCGGUGAAAUGCGUAGAGAUCGGGAGGAAGGCCGGUGGCGAAGGCGGCGCUCUGGAACAUACCUGACGCUGAGACACGAAAGCGUGGGGAGCAAACA